GACGUAGGGCGCGAGCGUUGUCCGGAUUUAUUGGGCGUAAAGAGCUCGUAGGCGGUCUGUUACGUCCGCUGUGAAAACCCAGGGCUUAACCCUGGGCUUGCAGUGGAUACGGGCAGACUAGAGGCAGGUAGGGGAGAAUGGAAUUCCCGGUGUAGCGGUGAAAUGCGCAGAUAUCGGGAGGAACACCGGUGGCGAAGGCGGUUCUCUGGGCCUGACCUGACGCUGAGGAGCGAAAGCGUGGGGAGCGAACAGG
rnacentral:rRNA from 1 species